ncrna:unclassified sequences RT-3 RNA
UUUGGGCGUACAACGACGAGGACGUGUCCUCAACGUAGAGCUCAGGGAAAUGAACCUCACUAACAGCAAAUCUAUUGGGAUUUGGAAAAGUGGAACAUAAAGCGUUGGGUAGAGUUUGGUAGGGCAUAUUCAGAUAUGCAGCCGAAGAAGUCAGACCCA